rnacentral:rRNA from 1 species
GGGAAUUUUCCGCAAUGGGCGAAAGCCUGACGGAGCAACGCCGCGUGAGGGAUGAAGGCCUCUGGGCUGUAAACCUCUUUUCUCAAGGAAGAAGACCUGACGGUACUUGAGGAAUAAGCCACGGCUAAUUCCGUGCCAGCAGCCGCGGUAAUACGGGAGUGGCAAGCGUUAUCCGGAAUUAUUGGGCGUAAAGCGUCCGCAGGCGGCCUUGUAAGUCUGUUGUUAAAGCGUGGAGCUCAACUCCAUUUGAGCAAUGGAAACUUCAAGACUAGAGUGUGGUAGGGGCAGAGGGAAUUCCCGGUGUAGCGGUGAAAUGCGUAGAUAUCGGGAAGAACACCAGUGGCGAAGGCGCUCUGCUGGGCCAUAACUGACGCUCAUGGACGAAAGCCAGGGGGGCGAAAGGGAUUAGAUACCCCUGUAGUCA